rnacentral:rRNA from 1 species
AGCAGCCGCGGUAAUUCCAGCUCCAAUAGCGUAUAUUAAAGUUGUUGCAGUUAAAAAGCUCGUAGUUGAAUUUCGGGAUCAAUAUAUCGGUCGUGCCUAUGGUAUGAACUGGUACAAUUGGUUUCUCCCUUCUGACGAAGCAUGAUGUCAUUAAUUUGGUGUCGUGGGGAAUCGGGACUGUUACUUUGAAAAAAUUAGAGUGUUUAAAGCAAGCAUUAGCUUGAAUACAUUAGCAUGGAAUAAUGAAAUAGGACGUUUGAUCCUAUUUCGUUGGUUUCUAGGAUCGACGUAAUGAUUAAUAGGGAUAGUUGGGGGCAUUAGUAUUCAAUUGUCAGAGGUGAAAUUCUUGGAUUUAUUGAAGACUAACUACUGCGAAAGCAUUUGCCAAGGAUGUUUUCAUUAAUCAAGAACGAAAGUUAGGGGAUCGAAGACGAUCAGAUACCGUCGUAGUCUUAACCAUAAACUAUGCCGACUAGGAAUCGGACGAUGUUAAUUUUAUAAUGACUCG